GCUUACGGUAAAGCAUCUGUCUACAAUGCGGGAGACCCAGGUUCGAUUCCUGG
rnacentral:tRNA from 1 species